UGAGAUCAACGAGGGAGUGAAUAACUAGUAAAAAGGAGAGGUCCAAGGAGUAAGUCCCCACGCAUUCUGACGGUCAGAGGUUGAGGAGUUGAGGAAGAAGAAGUUAUUAUAGGAGAUGUAGACGGAGCAGUCAGAAGGGUGGGGGGAAAACCAGUAAGUGUGCUGUCCUGGAAGCCAAGUGAAGAAAGCGUUUCAAGGAGGAAGGUGUCGGAAACAUCAUCUGUGUGUAACUUGAGACUGUGAAGACUUAAGCCAGGGGUAACACUGGAAGGAAGGUGAGACAGCUAUUAAAAUAAACAAAAAGUGAUACGAAUGACUGGAGACUAGGUGUUCCGGUCUGAGCACAAGAUCAUCAGAGUUGACGCGACAAGGAAGAGCCCCACCCCACCUCCAAGCUCUGUGAGUGGGGAUCCGGCCCCCAGCAGAGGGCGCAGGGGAGGGAGUGUCCCUGAGGGACAGAGCCAAGUUUCAGUUUGGGAGGACAAGAGACUGCUCAGGAGAGGGAAGGGAAGGAGGAUUUUGCUGAUGACUGACCCGAGUUCCAGAGGGCAGGUGAAAGGGUUUCAGAGAUGGGGAGGGGGGCCCAAUGAGGUCAGAAAAUAACGUGGGGGUUAGACUCCCAGGGACGAAAGAUGACCCGUGAAUGCUGAGUCUUGUGGGGAUGGGCAUCGGUGCGGAUAAGGGACACGAGGGGUUAGUCUUGAUGGUCACAAGGCAGGUAGCAAGGGAUCUGGGGGACUUGAUAGGAGUUGGACAGGUUCGGGGGCUGCCCCCUGAUGGCUGUUGGGAGAGGUGUGGGGUCUGGCACAGGGGUGGUCUACCCUGAGCUGGUCCCUCUCUAGGGCCCUAUUUAAUCCACACAACACUGUGAAGUGAGUACUGUUAUUAUUCCAAUUUUACAAAAGAAGAUAUAUUCAAAAAGCAAGGAGGAUGAAAAGCAACAGGACUUGGUGAACAAAGGCCUUAAAUUGCAGGUUGAAUCUGGUCUUAAUCACUAGAAGGGAGUUGAGAAGGGAGGCUACUUGGGUGUGAAAGUGGAGGGCAGAAUAGACUGGGAAGUUGAUUCCUGUUUAACAGGUUUUGAGUUGAAGGUGCAGGCAGAGGGAAUUGGAAAUGAGUUGAAGAUGACUGGAAACAUAGAAGCAGGCUUGACUGAUGUGUCAGAGCAGGCGAGGUUGAUCUGGAAGUCAGCAGUCCAAGCCAGAGCACACCUUUCCAUCCCAGAUCUUCCCUGGGUAGGGGUCUUACGACCACAGGGGAAACAUUUGUUUUCUAGGGGCGAGAAACAGGAGGAGAUUAGAAGUGGAUUUCGAUUUAGGAACUUGAUAAAAUCCCAGCUGUUGCCCUCAAACUACCCUUGGUAGUUUGCCCUCAACUUCUUGCCCUCAACUUCUCAUGCCAGCUUCUCACUUGGCGUGAUCUGAAGGAUCUUCUCUCAAUUUUAUUGCUGGUGUAAAGCCGAUGCUUUUGAAAUAUUGCUUGAACAGUGACCUCUAGUGUUAUAAAGAGAUCUCUGCUAACCGAUGAGGCAGUCUAAAAGUGAAAAUUCCCUUAAGAGUCAUUGCAUAGAUUCAUAUUGCCAGGAUGUACCUUAAUAAAUUAUUCAGUCCAUCUCUCUCCCUUUAGGGAGGACAUCACUUGAACAAUUCCAGGUCACUUCCCUUCAAGGCAGAUGUAAUGGAGCUUGAGAAAGUUCAGAGAAUGGCAACUAGAGUAAACAAGGAGAGAAAUGUACUUUUCUGUGAGAAUGGAUUUUUUUUUAGAGAUGAAGAAGAAUAUACUACAGACUAGAAAGUUGACACGUAUGAAACACUGAACUAACAGAACAGAUCUCCAAGUGUGAGAUCUCUUUGAAACCAUGAAGAGAGGACUUUAGUAUAAUACUGGCUACCACUUUUGAGUAUUUGCUCUGUGCCAUGUAUGCUUUCAACCACCCUUGAGGUAAGAACCAUUAUGAUCUCCAUUUUACAGGUAAGAAAACCAAGGUAUAGAAAAAUUGAUUGCUAUUGUAAUGAACCAAGGUGACACAGCUGAAAGGGGGCAAAAUCAGGAUUGGAACCAAGCUUUCUGACUCCCAAGUCGGCGCUCCUAACCUGUAGACACAACAACCCUGGAAUAAACAAGAAUGCUAAUUUAUAUAUAGGAUGCACAUGAAUCAGUAAAUUAGCAAAGGAUAAAAAUGUAAAUUUGGGCUUCCCUGGUGGAGCAGUGGUUGAGAGUCCGCCUGCUGAUGCAGGGGACACGGGUUCGUGCCCCGGUCCGCGAGGAUCCCACAUGCCGCAGAGCGGCUGGGCCCGUGAGCCAUGGCUGCUGAGCCUGCGCGUCCGGAGCCUGUGCUCCGCAACGGGAGAGGCCACAGCAGUGAGAGGCCCGUGUACCGCAAAAAAAAAAAAAAAAUGUAAAUUUGUUCAAGAAAAGUGUGGUUGUGGACAUGGCAAUUUGGGAACGACUAGGAUAUUCUAAGCAUGGGUGGUUAUCUUCCAUUUCUCACCCAGCGCUCCUCAGUCCUAGCAAACCGUGGAUCUGUGGCCCUUCAGAGAAGAAACCCCAUGCAGACUGAGCCAUGCAUUUCAAUUUUUUAAAACCCUCAUUAGCAGAAAAAUUCUUCGUGUCUAGUCUAAAUCCCUCCUGUUGAUGCCCAUUUUCUUUUAUUCUUUUUUUUUUUAAAAAAGAAUCAAUUUAUUUAUUUAGUUUUGGCUGCGUUGGGUCUUCAUUGCUGCACACAGGCUUUCUCUAGUUGCGGCAAGCGGGGGCUACUCUUCAUUGCAGUGUGUGGACUUCUCAUUGCGGUGUCCUCUCCUGUUGUGGAGCACGGGCUCCAGGCACACAGGCUUCAGUUGUGGCACACAGGCCCAGUAGUUGUGGCUCACGGGCUUAGUUGCUCCGUGGUAUGUGGGAAUCUUCCUGGACCAGGGCUCAAACCCAUGUCCCCUGCAUUGGCAGGCGGAUUCUUAACCACUGUGCCACCAGGGAAGUCCUCAUUUUCUUUUAUUCUGUCAUCAGUGAAGAUGGAAAACAGGUGGACAGAAUCCUCGUUGUUUUUCUGUAUCUGAAUGCCAUCCGUAAGUCCCUCUUCAGUCUUCUGGUCUACCCGCCUUCAAGAUGUACCAUCAUCCCCCAUCCUUUCCAGUAUCUCCAUAGGUCUUUUGUCUACCUUAAGGCUUUAAUGCAUCUUAUGGGAACAUUUUCAACCCUAAAAAGAAGUUUUGCUUACAAAAUAAAUCAUAAAAAUGUCUUCCUUCAUAAUAUUUACACAAUGUUUCUCAUUUUCAAAGGACUUCCAUAUACCUUAUCUUGCUUGAUUCCCAUGUGCUUGUCCCUGUUUAACGGAAGAGAAAAUGAGGCUCUGGGAAGUGAAAUGAUUUGCCUAAGGUCCCAUAGGGAGUAGUAGAAAAAUAAUGAAGUUGACAAGAAAAGAGGCUGCAUGGUAUUUUAUGACAGAUUUUUUUAGAAGGCAUGUAAGGGUUAGAAAAUAAUCCUUUUUAUCUUUUCUGUUUGUUUUGGUAGCUAUCAGCAUCUGAUGAUAGAAAUAUCUAGCAAACAAAACAAAAGUACAGCUUCUCUUUUCAGUCAUCCUUGGGGGUUUCAUUUUCAUAAUUAGAGCCCAGAACCUCUCCUUCAAUUUAUGGGACUUAGGUAACUGCCAACUCAGUGCUACCUAAUUAUUGGGCUAGGCACUGUUCCAACCACCCGCCACGUACCAACUCAUGUAAUCUUCACAACAACCUUGUGUGGUGGGGACUAUUUUCACCUCUCAUUUUACAGAUGAGGAAAGAAGCACAGACAGGGUAAAUAAUUUGCUCAAGAUUUUACAGGUAGUCCUGGCCAAUAUAAAGGUAAAGUAAAAUCCACCUAAAUCCUGCUGUCAAACAGUAAGCAUCCGUCACAGACUAUGACCCAUUAUAAUGCUGUGUAGGCCGACAAAUAUGCUUCCUUUGACACAUGAGGAAUUUGGGUUUUAGUGAGAUUAAGUCACUUAGUGUUGGUCACACAGUGAGGCAGGGCUGGUACGCGCUGGCACCCUCCAACGGUCAUACCAGUUGUUAAAACGGUAAAUUUUUCUGUACGGGUUGACCGUGCUGUUGCCUCAGGCUCCCCAAGAAUCCCCAUCACCCCUGCUGCCCAGGCUUCUCCCCUACGAGCCCUCCAGAUCUCCCUACAGCCUGGCGACUCCAGGGGUCCCUGCUCCCAUGAUGCUUUCACCCGGCUCUGGCAGGCUCCCUUUGGGAACUGGCAUCAGGGAGACAGGAGGGGGGUUUCAGGGAGAGGGGGUGUCCACAGGAGAGAGGGCAGCCCAGGACAGGAGGAUCUGAGGGGUGUCUGCUGCAUAGGUGGUUUCAUUUCCCCUCUGCGUUAUUACCUAACAGACAAAAUAGGACUCAGGAACGGCAGAGGAGGUAUUUCUCCUUUGUUUUCACAUUUCCUGGAGAAACUCUAGGUGUCUGAGCAAGGAAACAAGCCUGUCUGUGCUGCUGGCGGACUUAGAGGAGAGAGGACACCAGCAUCUGGGGAGGGCCAGAGGGCUGGAAAUGAAGACUAAGGGAUCUCUCUCCUUCCUGAUAGAUGGAUCCACGAUGAUACAUACACGUGAAGCCCUCCUAUACCGGGCCAGGCCCUUACCUGGGCCUCCGUAAUUCCAGGGGCCAGAGUCCAAAAUGGAGGUGUCGGCGGGGUCAUGCUCCGUCUGAAGGCUCCGAGACACAAAACUUUUCUUGCGUCUUCCAACUUCUGGUGGCUCCUGGCAUUCCGUGGCUUGUGGCAACAUCACCUCAAUCUCUGCCUCUGUCUUGUGACCUCUCCUCUUUUUAUUUUUAUUAUUUUAGGGGUGAAUUUUUUUCUUCCAGUUUUGUUGAGAUAUAAUUGACAUAUAGCACUGUGUAAGUUACAGCAUCCUGAUGUGACUUACAUACAUCGUGGAAUGCUGACCACAAUAAAGGUAGUGAACAUGCAUCAUCUCGUACGGAUACAAAAUUAAGAAAAAGAAAAAAAACCUUUUUUCCUUGUGAUAAGAACUCUUAAGGAUUUAUUCUUUUAACUUUCACAUAUAACAUAUAGCAGUGUUAGUUAUAUUUAUCAUGUUGCACAUUACAUCCUUAGUAUUUAUUUACCUUAUAACUGGAGGUUCACACCUUCUGACUGACUUCAUCCAACUCUCCCUCCCCCUACUCCCCACCUCUGGUAAACACACAUUUGAUCUCUUUUUCUAUGACUUUUUGUCUGUUUGUUUGUUGAGGUGUAAUUGACCUACAGCACUGUGUCAGUUCCUGGCACAGUCUUUCCUUUUCUUAUAAGAACACUUGUCACUGAAUUCAGGGCCUGCCCUAAAUCCAGCCUGAUUUCAUUUCAAGAUCCUUAACUAAUUACGUCUGCAAAGACCCUCUUUCCAAAUAAGUCCACAUUCUGAAGUUCUGGGUGGAUAUGAAUUUUGGGGGGGUCAUUAUUCGACCCACUACAAUGUGUGACCUAUUGCAGGAAAUGGACAAAAGGGGGAGACUAUGCAUUUAUAAGACAGGAAAUUCUUUUACUCUUUGUGAUUAACUUGUUAUUCUUACUAUAGCAAAUUAUCUCACGAUUGUUGACAAUUAAAAACAAACUUGACCUUUACCUAUAUCGUGUAGGACAGUGGUUCCCAGAUGCUGGAUGAUAGCACAGCUCUGGUCCAAGGGAAGUUUUCACAGGUCAAGGCAUCUUUCCCUAUAAACCCUGCAGGCCCUGAGUUGAGGCCCCGGGGCCUCCAGCUGCCCAGAAUCACUGAGUAGGAGUUUCUUAUAGGCACCUGGGUUCUUCAGGGCCCAGCAGAGAAUGAGUGUGGCAUCAGCGCCGUCAGUGAACUUGCUUCAGUUUGCACAGAAUAUUCCAAAUUAAGGGAAAUGCCAUGAAGAGUGUCACUUCCGUUUUUGUUAACAAAUCUAUGAGAAACAAAGUUUAAUAGUGAAAGAUAAAGGCAAAAUAUGAGAAUAAAUUGAAUAUUUACGCUCUACUUCAUGAUAUCUCAUUGAAUGUAUAACCACAAGCUGAUAAAUGUGUAUCAGACUAACAAUUAUGUAAACGUAACAUUGUAAAACAAAAUUUCAUAUUGCAAUUCUUCUCAACUCAAACACUAUGUAUAUAUUUGUAAAAUUGUAUUUCAUAUGUGUUUGUUGUCAGGCUAUACCAACUGACCUUUAUGCUAUGUCCUUUUUACUUUCUGUAUGUCAAAUUAGUAUUUUUUUAAUGAAAUAAUAGCACAAAUAGAUUUCUACCUCACAAAAUUUAAAGAGGGCAACUUUUUUUUUUUUUGCGGUACGCGGGCCUCUCACUGUUGUGGCCUCUCCCGUCGUGGAGCACAGGCUCUGGACACGCAGGCUCAGUGGCCAGGGCUCACGGGCCCAGCCGCUCCGCGGCAUGUGGGAUCUUCCCGGACCGGGGCACGAACCCGAGUCCCCUGCAUCGGCAGGCGGACUCUCAACCACUGCGCCACCAGGGAAGCCCGAAGUGCUCCUUUUUAAGAACUCAGCUUCUGAAGUGUAGAUGAGCUUGAGAGAGACUGGAAGGGAAUCCAAGCAGUGUUGUAUUAUUGGACUUGUAGGGGGCAUACAAGUAUCCUUGUCAGCUUCAGAAGGGUCAGUGAGUACACUGUUCACUGAAAAAUUUCAUACAUUGCAUGGAGAUGAAAUGGUAUGGAGAAUGAAAUGAAAUGUCACCCACAGUGAAAUUAAAUGUCUGGGGGAAGGAAAAGGAGGCUGACAAGGAUGACAUAGUUGACAGUCAUGGGCAGACAGCGUUUAGCAUAAGUUAAUUUACCGGCCAGCUCAAUCCAAAAGGAUGCUUAUAUCUGCCUCACACUAUGACUUAUUAGACUCUAACAUGAUGGGAGGAGGGGGAGAAAAUAAGGGCCAUUUCCAAGGGCAUACUGUAUUUUACGUAUGAAUUGCAGAAGCACAAGAGAGACCAAGAAGAAAUUGUUUUUCAUCUUUUUUAGACUCCUGCCAUCCUCCUGUCUAUGCCAGCUCCUUCUCUGGAAUGCAAGGCCCAAGCAGUUUGAUGCAUUAAGUUAAACUACGUAUCUCCAUGGAGGUGAAUAAGAGAUUUCACUGGGAAUCAGCCAGAGAUACGCACAUACCACGAGUUAGAACUUGAAAGCAAGUCAGCCAUGCGACAGACAUGUCUCUUAGAAUAUGACUUUGUACUGGAGAUUGGUAAAUAAACCUCUGGUUGUAAUUCAAAAACAUUUAAAAUGAAUGAGACCUUGGUUUCUAAAAGCUUGAAAUAUUUGGACAGACUAGAUGACAACUUGAUUUAGUGCUUUUCUAAUUAUCAAUAGCUGACAAAAACAAUUCCUAGUAAAGCAUCUGAAAGUUUUGACUUUUCUCCCUAAGGAUACAGGGAGAGAAGCACAGAAGCAGUUACACAGACAAACACCAAAGAGGUAAUGACAAUAAAACACGAUUAGGCGUGAGCCACUCCCCUUGGAACACCUUGGACAGAGUAGGUGUUCAACUUCCUUUAAACGAGGCUGGGGUGAGGGUUUCCUUCUGAAGGAGGACUGAGGUCUUCUGCAUUUGAAAGUGACUGGAGUGACGAUCCGGGGACCCUGCCAUCACUGUCAGUUGUCACGUGCUGGUCAAUUACAGUAAAGGCCCAGGGAAAAGAAGAGCCAAUGUCCUGGCCGGGAUGACUAUGCCCAGUCUGGGUGUGGCUCCCACCUCUGCAGCCCUUCUUCCUGCCUGAUCUCAAGGUGCCAGGGGAGCGCUCAGGUGGGUGGGACAGGUGGGAGCUGCAGCUAGAAUACCAUGCUUACCGCUGGCUGUAAUUUGAUUUGCAAAGAGUCUAUACUCUUUAAAUUUUGGAUUUAAAUAUAAAAUGGAAUCAUAUUAUAAAUGCACUUCAGAAGCUGAUUGUGUAAAGGACCUCCAUGGUGUACCUUCCCUCAAGAGCAAACUCUCUUACUGUAAAGCAAAACAGUACAUAUAGUAAUAUUUUAACCAAUAUAGCCUUUAAAUCUGACUUUUAAAUGGCAGGUUUUCUUUUCUUAUGGUGAAAUACUUUUAUAUUCUGAAAUCUAUUUCUGUAAUCAUUCUGUGUUCCAAAGCAAUAGGUUAAUAAGUCAUUGAAAUGUAAAAUAUAUUCAGUAAAUUUUUUUUAAGGUACAGAACAACAAAAAGUUGCCCUCUUGGGCUUUGCCCACUAGCCUAUUAAAGACCUUCAUGGGAUA